UACAUGAAGCUGGAAUCGCUAGUAAUCGUAGAUCAGCAUGCUACGGUGAAUACGUUCCCGGGUCUUGUACACACCGCCCGUCACACCACGAGAGUUUGUAACACCCGAAGCCGGUGGAGUAACCUUUUAGGAGCUAGCCGUCGAAGGUGGGACAAAUGAUUGGGGUGAAGUCGUAACAAGGUAGCCGUAUCGGAAGGUGCGGCUGGAUCACCUCCUUU
rnacentral:rRNA from 1 species